rnacentral:lncRNA from 1 species
GAUUUAGAGUUUAGUAUUUAAGAUUUAUAAUUUAGAAUUUAUCCAAAUGUUUAGGGUUUACCCAAGGGUUUAGGGUUUACCCAAGGGUUUAAGAUUUUCCCAAGGGUUUAGGGUUUAGGAUUAGAGUUUAGGGUUUAGUGUUUUGUUGACAACAUAUUUAGUGUUUUUCCAAGGGUUUAGGGGUUUAUCCAAGGAUUUAGGGUUUACCCAAGGAUUUAGGGUUUACCCAAGGAUUUAGGGUUUAGGAUUUGAGUUUAGGGUUUAGUAUUAGAGUUUAGGGUUUAGUGUUUUGUUGACAACAUUAUUUUUUUUUUGAAUUCGUUUUUUGUAUAUUAUUUUUAUUUAUUUUUA